rnacentral:rRNA from 1 species
CCUACGGGGGGCAGCAGUGAGGAAUAUUGGUCAAUGGCCGGAAGGCUGAACCAGCCAAGCCGCGUGAAGGACGAAGGUGCCAAGCAUUGUAAACUUCUUUUGUCAAGGGACAAAAUCAGGCUCGAGAGCCUGACCGAGGGUACUUGAAGACAAAGCAUCGGCUAACUCCGUGCCAGCAGCCGCGGUAAUACGGGGGAUGCGAGCGUUAUCCGGAUUUAUUGGGGUUAAAGGGUGCGUAGGCGGGCUGUUAAGUCAGCGGUAAAAGCCCGGGGCUCAACCCCGGCGAGCCGUUGAAAAUGGCUGGCUUGAGAUGUCGAGAGGGAUGCGGAAGGGGCAGGGGAGCGGUGAAAUGCUUAGAUAGUGCGCAGAACUCCGAUUGCGAAGGCAGCAUACCGGCGGCGAUCUGACGCUGAGGCACGAAAGCGUGGGUAUCGAACAGGAUUAGAUACCCGGGUAGUC